rnacentral:rRNA from 1 species
GAUGAACGCUGGCGGCGUGCUUAACACAUGCAAGUCGAACGGUGAAGGCGGAGCUUGCUCUGCUGGAUCAGUGGCGAACGGGUGAGUAACACGUGAGCAAUCUGCCCCUGACUCUGGGAUAAGCGCUGGAAACGGCGUCUAAUACCGGAUACGAGCUGCUACUGCAUCUUCAGCAGCUGGAAAUAAUUUCGGUUAGGGAUGAGCUCGCGGCCUAUCAGCUUGUUGGUGAGGUAAUGGCUCACCAAGGCGUCGACGGGUAGCCGGCCUGAGAGGGUGACCGGCCACACUGGGACUGAGACACGGCCCAGACUCCUACGGGAGGCAGCAGUGGGGAAUAUUGCACAAUGGGCGAAAGCCUGAUGCAGCAACGCCGCGUGAGGGACGACGGCCUUCGGGUUGUAAACCUCUUUUAGCAGGGAAGAAGCGAAAGUGACGGUACCUGCAGAAAAAGCGCCGGCUAACUACGUG